UUGGGACGUGAGUGUUUGGAGGAGUCGAAUAGGCAUUUUUACGGUUGCUGGUAAAUUUCCUUCUUUCUUUUGCGCGAGUGAAGUGAGUUCGGAAAAAUGAUGGAAAUGCAGAUGGACUGGAAAAAUGACUUGGGAGCUCAGGGGAAUACCAGUGAAGCUCUGGCUAUAAACUCUCAGGGCCAUAAUAGGCUCCCAGUUUCCAUCGGUAGUCAUUUGAUUCCAUCGGUAGUCAUUUGGUCAGCAUGCACCCUGACUCUGGAGGAGUGGUACCUCCCGUAGGCCACCAUCAGGGCAGCCAGGAGACAGACAGCAGCACUGACCCCCAGGACUGCAACCACAGUACAGGUCUGUACUGACCCCCGGCACUGGAAGAGGAGUGGCCGGGGUCAAAGGUAAGGGUUCGAAUUCUGAUGUAACAAGGAAUCACAGAGGGAGAGAAAUUAUAAUAGAGGUCAUUCUAUUCACAAUGGAGCAGCAUUAUAUAUAUCAAUGUUCUUUCAAGUAUUUAACCUUUAUUUAUCCAGCAAAAUUCCCAUUGAGGUCAGAAGACCUCUUUUAUAAGAGAGACCUGGUAUGUGGGCCUCUUUGUACUUCACACUUACCAAUUGGGUAUUACAGAACAGUUGUUGCUGUGAUGGAAAAAAAGAGUGUUUACUAUUUGACUCAGUGGUAGACUAGCAUGCUACUAGAUUGGUUUGUGUGUUUAGCCAACUCUCUUGUUGUGUUCGUUGUCAUGCCAAAACCGGAAUUUCAGAUCAGGGUGCAAAUCAAACGGCAUGUACUGUAUGUAUGGAAUGCAGUAUUACCGGGAAGCUGGAUGAAAUGUGUCUCAAGCUUAAGGUAGGCAUGCUUCUGAAAGACCUAUCCAUUUCCAAUGUAGAAAUAAAGAGUAAUUACAAUUUUAAGUGAGAAAAACUCAUUUCUCAGAUGUCACUGGGCCUGUGGUGGAAGCAGCUGGAGAGUGAGAUGCCAGGUUGUUGAUGGCGGGAUCAAUGUCAGGGUAAGAACACAACCUCUUGUCAGGUCAGGACACUAAACCCCUGUAUCCUGUCACCUGGAUGAAUGAAUUAAGGUAUGCAGAAUAUCAGAAAGGGAAGAGGACAGGAUGGAACAUUGUCUUCAUAUGUGAAUGUAUCUGUUAAACCUUUUGAAGGGAUGGCAUGAUUAAGGGGGAACCAAUUACUUGUCUCCACAAUGUCUGUGCGCAAGUCACUCCCUCCUUUGGCAUUGGCGGGGAGGUGUAUGGCAGUGUCUGGAACCAUUGUACAUCCUCUCUGGUGUUGCACUUAUCCUGGGAUAGUGUAUGACAUAGAGGCUCACUCCCCUCGGUGAGUUUGUCCAGGAGAGGGGUCAAGAAGGGGUUUAACUUGAGAUGGGUGUAUCUAGAGUUGACAAUUGAGUUAUGCCAUUGGAUGAGGUAAUGGUUCUGUGCUAUGAAGUACCAGGAACGAGAUUAGAACCUCGUUUUAGGGACCAAACUGAACGAUCAUUUAUAGCGAAUGUUAUCUGGCUAAGGGAUACUCCUUUCUUAAUUAUAAAGUUCCUUUUUGAACUGUUCCUAAGAUCUGUGGUUCGUCAUGUAGGUUGAGAGGGGUGUAUCUUGGCUAUAAAAGAUCUCUGUACUUUUGUGUUGUCACUUUCAAUGGUUCAUUAGAAAUGGCGCAUCAUUGAAAGUCAUUGCUAAUGCAAAGCUCUUAUUAUUAUUAAAGAUGUAGUUUAAGUAUAACUCUGACUGGAGUGUGAAGUUUGUUUCUCCUCAUUUGGUAGUGCAGAAAUUACCCACCACAACCUCCAGCUGGGCAGUCCAUCCAAUCUGAGCCAGAUACCUGUACCUGGUACCUGUUUAGCCCAGUACACCUGUGUCUGUAACUACACCCCACCACAGAGUCACUGACAGAGAGGGAGAUGUUCUGAGAGAACAAGGAGAUGGCCAGAAAAGAAAAGGAUGGUUAGCGUUCACUUGCAUACACGUUUCACAAAAAUAUGCUGUGUAAGAACAUACCUGCACACAAAACACACACACACUUGCCUUACAUUAUAUGGGAAUUGAAUUGGUGAAGACGCCACGUAGGGGAAGAGAUACGGAUACAUUUCUUCUCCAAAGAGAGACGUAUUGGAUAGAUCGCUUGGCCACUCUUUCCCCAGCAGGCCUCAAUGAGGAAUGUUAUUUUUCUUAGUUUUUGUAGUUGGUUAUAAAUAGGGCAAAAAUUCAGGUAAUAACAUCAUAAUGUAUUUGUAUUGUGUGUCUAUCUUUAUUUGAUUGUCAUGUUUCCCCCACUGCUUCCUCUACCGGGACCUCUUGAUUGAGCCAAUACUGACUGUGAAUUUAUAAUUAUGCCCACCUGUGUGGUAUGUUUGUUGCGACAUUGAUUGCCAUUGCCUUGCACACUGAAGAUAGGCUCACACCAUUGUGUAAAUGUUAAAGAAGAUGAAGAGGUGUUUGAAAUCAAAUGUUAUCGUGGAGAACAGAGCUCAGGAAAAAGGUCAAACUGAAGUGAAGUGAAUGAGCGCAGAAGACCCACCGUUUUACUCCAAUAUUAAUAAACAAAUGAAUCGACUCAAAACGUGGUUAAAACUAUAGUUUUGAUAUCAUGAAUGGUCAGUCCUUGCAUCCAUACUAGCUCUGUCUAUGGAAUUGAGAAUGGUCACAUAUCUCCAGUAUCAUCCCUCAGCUUUUUACCUAAACAGUGGUGGGGACCCUUUGUUAUUGUUUCAACUGCAGAUUGUCCCUUUAAAUAAGUAAAAAAUUAUUGUAACUUUCUAAGAGAAAGAGGAUUAUUUGUUCAAGAGGCUACAUUACUUUGUUUUGUCUCUCAUCUGCCAAAAAAAGUAUUGUCAAUUGUUUAAUCUGUAAUUUUCCUGUGUUGUAUAAGAUUGUGAUGUAUGUCUUUCAUUGUUAGAAACUACCUAUGACCCUUACUUAUAAACCCUUAUAAAGGGUAGUGUUACCUAUAAAGGACCAGGGAAGAAACCAGAUGCCUUUAUACAAGCUUAACCUGGAAUCCACACUGAGGUGAAGUAAUAGUGAAAUUGAAAGACUACAGAGUUUAGGCUAGUUAGUAUACUGUACAACUAGUGGUGGGAAUUUUCUUAUUCAGGUGUGAAGUAUAGAAUCAGAGAUGAAAUCAGACAAUGGUGUAAAGGCAGAAAGAAAAGUGUCACGCCUUGGUCUUAGUAUUUUGUGUUUUCUUUAAUUAUUUUUUCAGGCCAGGGUGUGACAUGGGUUUAUUGUGUUGUCGUAUUGGGGUUUUUGUAGGCAUUGGGGAUUGUGGCUG